AGUGAACGCUGGCGGUAGGCCUAACACAUGCAAGUCGAACGGCAGCACAGUAAGAGCUUGCUCUUACGGGUGGCGAGUGGCGGACGGGUGAGGAAUACAUCGGAAUCUACUUUUUCGUGGGGGAUAACGUAGGGAAACUUACGCUAAUACCGCAUACGACCUACGGGUGAAAGCAGGGGAUCUUCGGACCUUGCGCGAUUGAAUGAGCCGAUGUCGGAUUAGCUAGUUGGCGGGGUAAAGGCCCACCAAGGCGACGAUCCGUAGCUGGUCUGAGAGGAUGAUCAGCCGCACUGGAACUGAGACACGGUCCAGACUCCUACGGGAGGCAGCAGUGGGGGAUAUUGGACAAUGGGCGCAAGCCUGAUCCAGCCAUACCGCGUGGGUGAAGAAGGCCUUCGGGUUGUAAAGCCCUUUUGUUGGGAAAGAAAAGCAGCAGGUUAAUACCCCGCUGUUCUGACGGUACCCAAAGAAUAAGCACCGGCUAACUUCGUG
rnacentral:rRNA from 1 species